rnacentral:rRNA from 1 species
GAGUUUGAUCAUGGCUCAGGAUGAACGCUGGCGUGCUUAACACAUGCAAGUCGAACGAACCUUCGGGUUAGUGGCGGACGGGUGAGUAACGCGUGAGAAUCUGCCCUCAGGAGGGGGAUAACAGCUGGAAACGGCUGCUAAUACCCCAUAUGCCGCGAGGUGAAAUGAAUUUCGCCUGAGGAUGAGCUCGCGUCUGAUUAGCUAGUUGGUGUAGGUAAUGGCUCACCAAGGCAUCGAUCAGUAGCUGGUCUGAGAGGAUGAUCAGCCACACUGGGACUGAGACACGGCCCAGACUCCUACGGGAGGCAGCAGUGGGGAAUUUUCCGCAAUGGGCGAAAGCCUGACGGAGCAACGCCGCGUGAGGGAUGAAGGCCUCUGGGCUGUAAACCUCUUUUAUCAAGGAAGAAGAUCUGACGGUACUUGAUGAAUAAGCCACGGCUAAUUCCGUGCCAGCAGCCGCGGUAAUACGGGAGUGGCAAGCGUUAUCCGGAAUUAUUGGGCGUAAAGCGUCCGCAGGCGGCCCUUCAAGUCUGCUGUUAAAAAGUGGAGCUUAACUCCAUCAUGGCAGUGGAAACUGAGGGGCUUGAGUGUGGUAGGGGCAGAGGGAAUUCCCGGUGUAGCGGUGAAAUGCGUAGAUAUCGGGAAGAACACCAGUGGCGAAGGCGCUCUGCUGGGCCAUCACUGACGCUCAUGGACGAAAGCCAGGGGAGCGAAAGGGAUUAGAUACCCCUGUAGUCCUGGCCGUAAACGAUGAACACUAGGUGUCGGGGGAAUCGACCCCCUCGGUGUCGUAGCCAACGCGUUAAGUGUUCCGCCUGGGGAGUACGCACGCAAGUGUGAAACUCAAAGGAAUUGACGGGGGCCCGCACAAGCGGUGGAGUAUGUGGUUUAAUUCGAUGCAACGCGAAGAACCUUACCAGGGUUUGACAUCCUGCGAAUCUCUUGGAAACGAGAGAGUGCCUUCGGGAGCGCAGUGACAGGUGGUGCAUGGCUGUCGUUAGCUCGUGUCGUGAGAUGUUGGGUUAAGUCCCGCAACGAGCGCAACCCACGUCUUUAGUUGCCAGCAUUUAGUUGGGCACUCUAGAGAGACCGCCGGUGAUAAACCGGAGGAAGGUGUGGAUGACGUCAAGUCAUCAUGCCCCUUACAUCCUGGGCUACACACGUACUACAAUGCUACGGACAAAGGGCAGCAAGUUCGCGAGGACAAGCAAAUCCCAUAAACCGUGGCUCAGUUCAGAUCGUAGGCUGCAACUCGCCUACGUGAAGGAGGAAUCGCUAGUAAUCGCAGGUCAGCAUACUGCGGUGAAUACGUUCCCGGGCCUUGUACACACCGCCCGUCACACCAUGGAAGUUGGCCACGCCCGAAGCCGUUACUCCAACCCUUGUGGAGGAGGACGUCGAAGGUGGGGCUGAUGACUGGGGUGAAGUCGUAACAAGGUAACC